rnacentral:rRNA from 1 species
UACGUAGGGGGCAAGCGUUGUCCGGAUUUAUUGGGCGUAAAGAGCGUGUAGGCGGCUUUGCAAGUCCGUUGUGAAAACUCGAGGCUCAACCCCGAGACGCCGGUGGAAACUGCAAAGCUAGAGUCCGGAAGAGGAGAGUGGAAUUCCUGGUGUAGCGGUGAAAUGCGCAGAUAUCAGGAAGAACACCCGUGGCGAAGGCGGCUCUCUGGGACGGUACUGACGCUGAGACGCGAAAGCGUGGGGAGCGAACAGG